rnacentral:rRNA from 1 species
CCUGAUUAGCUAGUUGGUGAGGUAAAGGCUCCACCAAGGCGACGAUCAGUAGCUGGUCUGAGAGGAUGAUCAGCCACACUGGAACUGAGACACGGUCCAGACUCCUACGGGAGGCAGCAGUGGGGAAUUUUGGACAAUGGGGGAAACCCUGAUCCAGCCAUUCCGCGUGAGUGAAGAAGGCCUUCGGGUUGUAAAGCUCUUUCAGGAGGGAAGAAACGGUUGCAGCUAAUACCUGCGACUAAUGACGGUACCUUCAGAAGAAGCACCGGCUAACUACGUGCCAGCAGCCGCGGUAAUACGUAGGGUGCGAGCGUUAAUCGGAAUUACUGGGCGUAAAGCGUGCGCAGGCGGUUUUGUAAGUCAGAUGUGAAAGCCCCGGGCUCAACCUGGGAACU